UUUUUCAAAACAUGUCCUUUAGAUUUUUUAAUUUAAGGUCUGGCCUGCCCUAUGAUUAUAAUUUAAUGGCCGCAGUAUUUUAACUGUGCGAAGGUAGCAUAAUCAAUUGUUCUUUAAUUGUGAACUAGAAUGAAUGGCUUGAUGAGGGAUAAACUUUCUUUGCUUUAACUAAAAUAAUUUUAUUUUUGAGUUAAAAAGCUCAAAUUUUAUUAUAGGACGAGAAGACCCUAUAGAACUUUAUUCUAUAGUAAAUACAUAUUGUUUAGUAUAUAUGGGGUAUAUAUUUAUUAUAGAAUUUUGUUGGGGUGACAGGUAAAUAUUUUUAACUUUAUUUUAUUGUAAAUCACCAAUUAGUGUAUUUUUGAUCCAUUUUUAAUGAUUAAAAGAUUAAGUUACCUUAGGGAUAACAGCGUAAUUUUAUUGGAGAGUUCUAAUCGAUAAUAAAGUUUGCGACCUCGAUGUUGGAUUAAAAUUAUUACUGGGCGCAGCCGUUCAGGUAAUAAGUCUGUUCGACUUUUAAAUUUUUACAUGAUUAAGUUUCC
rnacentral:rRNA from 1 species